rnacentral:rRNA from 1 species
AGUGAACGCUGGCGGUAGGCCUAACGCAUGCAAAUCGAACGGCAGCACAGUAAGAGCUUGCUCUUACGGGUGGCGAGUGGCGGACGGGUGAGGAAUACAUCGGAAUCUACUUUUUCGUGGGGGAUAACGUAGGGAAACUUACGCUAAUACCGCAUACGACCUACGGGUGAAAGCAGGGGAUCUUCGGACCUUGCGCGAUUGAAUGAGCCGAUGUCGGAUUAGCUAGUUGGCGGGGUAAAGGCCCACCAAGGCGACGAUCCGUAGCUGGUCUGAGAGGAUGAUCAGCCACACUGGAACUGAGACACGGUCCAGACUCCUACGGGAGGCAGCAGUGGGGAAUAUUGGACAAUGGGCGCAAGCCUGAUCCAGCCAUACCGCGUGGGUGAAGAAGGCCUUCGGGUUGUAAAGCCCUUUUGUUGGGAAAGAAAAGCAGCAGGUUAAUACCCCGCUGUUCUGACGGUACCCAAAGAAUAAGCACCGGCUAACUUCGUG